rnacentral:lncRNA from 1 species
UAUACGUAUUUGUUAGUUAUUAAAAAAAGUUUAUUUUACAUAUUUGUUAGUUUUUAAAAAAAGUUUAUUUUAAAAUAUUAGUUUGUUUUUGUCAGAAAAGAAUUAUAUUAGCUAUUGAAUCCGUCCAGCUAACUCUGUGGUUCGUAAGCCACCGUUUGGUUGGCGGUUAAGGGGUGGAAUAAUUUCUUAACCCCCAAUUUAUACCCAAACACCACUCUUUUGGGGUGGGGUUUACUAACCCCAUCCCAAACCGGGUUAGUGGGGUUUACUAACCCCACUCCCCUUCCCAACUUUAACCCCGCACGCAUCCCGAGCCCUCACCUUUUUCUUCUUAUCAAUCAUUAACCCCACUCCCCCUCCCAACUUUAACCCCGCACGCAUCCCGAGCUCUCACCUUUUUCUUCUUUAUCAAUCAUUAUUUUCUUAUCCCAGCUAUUCCAACCAAACAUUUUUUUUCACUAUCCUAGACUAACUCCAACCUCCAACCAAACACAAAAAAAUGUUAACACUAUUUUAACCCUGAACUUAACCCUAUCCCUGAAAUAGCUACUUUUUCUUAACCCCGAACCAGACGGGGGCUAAAAGAUUUAAAAUC